rnacentral:rRNA from 1 species
GGCCCAGACUCCUACGGGAGGCAGCAGUAGGGAAUAUUGCUCAAUGGGGGAAACCCUGAAGCAGCAACGCCGCGUGGAGGAUGAAGGUUUUCGGAUUGUAAACUCCUUUUGUUAGAGAAGAUAAUGACAGUAUCUAACGAAUAAGCACCGGCUAACUCCGUGCCAGCAGCCGCGGUAAUACGGAGGAUGCGAGCGUUAUCCGGAUUUAUUGGGUUUAAAGGGUGCGCAGGUGGCACGGCAAGCCGGCGGUCAAAUCGCGGGGCUCAACCCCGCCCAGCCGUCGGAACUGCCGGGCUAGAGUGGGCGAGAAGUGCGCGGAAUGCGUGGUGUAGCGGUGAAAUGCAUAGAUAUAAGGAAGAACACCAGUGGCGAAGGCGGAUGACUGGACGGCAACUGACGGUGAGGCGCGAAAGCGUGGGGAGCAAACAGGAUUAGAUACCCUCGUA